UCCUCCAAUGUCCCUCUCGAUCUUAGGCAUCCUUCAGGUCGACCUUCAUCGCCUUCACUGCCCUCCUGUACCUCUCGGACCAGCCUAGGUUACUUCCAGAACCUUUCUUUUUCUUGCUGUUCAUCCAUUUUUCCUCCUCUACAUUCCGCCCGUUCAAUUUCUCCACGUGUGCCUUGUUUUCUAUUUUUUUCAAUUUUUUUGAGAUUUUUUGGGAUUUUUAUUUAAUUCAAAAUGUCCUCCAACACUUCCUCCUCUAGCAGUUCUAGAAGUUCGUUAGCUCCAGCCCCCUAAAAUCUUAGUUCUGUAGAUGAACCCGUACUUAGGAUCGAACCUCAUCCGAUCUUUGUACUAGACACCAUUCCCAGCUCUUUGACAUUAGACGAACUCUAGCUGAUUAGGAUUCAGUACGGGAUUCCUCUAGAGUACGAGCUUGAGCUUCCCGGGCCAACUGACCAGGCUAGCGCCCCUCCCCCUGGCCAUUUUUGUUUAUACCAGGAAGCCUUCCGCACCGGACUUCGACUUCC
rnacentral:lncRNA from 1 species